rnacentral:pre_miRNA from 1 species
UUUCUCCGUCGCCCCCGCGAAGGCGGGGGCCGUUGGCGUUAAAGUCUGGCGGCCCCCGUCUUCACGGGGGCGACGAUCAAG